CCUUUGCUCGCUCAAAUGUUUCCUUGAGAAGGGAGUGAGGUGACAAUGAAGGACAUAGAUGCCAUAUUGCAUUUUGUAAAAAAAAAAAAAAAAAAAAAAAAAAAAAAAAGGUAGUUAUACAUUUUAAUUUUACAUAAUUAAGAAAUUAAGACCUUAGUAACUGACACCUACCGGCUUCGUUAUGUCAAAUACUACAAUGGCUGCCUGGGCUCCACGAUAGUACAUGGGUGCCAGGCUGUGAUAGCGUUCCUGCCCAGCUGUGUCCCAAAUCUCAAACUUGACUGUAGUGUCAUCCAGACAAACUGACUGGGCCAAGAAGGCAGCUAGAAGAAGAGACGAGAAACAAGAGAAAGGAGAAAUCAUAUUGAUGCUAAGCAGGCACAGUUUCCUGGAACUCAUCAAACUGACCCUUGACAAAGCGAAGGACCAGGCUGGACUUGCCCACUGCCAUGUCUCCCAGCAGCACCAACUUGAACUGGCAGAUCUUAGUCUGAGGAGAGCUUUGGUCAGGUUUUUGGAUUGUGGAGCCUCUUUCUGUGGCUUCGACGAACUUCGAUGAUUUUGAUUUCUCCAGUAAGGAGUGGCGAGCCAACCAAAGACGAGUCAGUUGCAUGCAGAGGAUUGAAACUCCACCAGGACUUAACAAGUAACAUUUACCCAAUACCACUGGGAUUGAACUGAAACAAUACACUGACACACACAAGAAAUCUAAUUCAAACACAUGUUUUUUUUGUUUGUCUUUUUACUCCUUUCAUUUUCUUACAAGUUGCAAAGCUGUGAAUUUAACGUUGCUACUUAAAUUAAACGUAAAUAUUCCCUGUCAUUU